UACGUAGGGACCAAGCGUUGUUCGGAUUUACUGGGCGUAAAGGGCGCGUAGGCGGCUUGCCAAGUCACUUGUGAAAUCUCCGGGCUUAACUCGGAACGGCCAAGUGAAACUGUCAUGCUAGAGUGCAGAAGGGGCAAUCGGAAUUCCUGGUGUAGCGGUGAAAUGCGUAGAUAUCAAGAGGAACACCUGAGGUGAAGACGGGUUGCUGGGCUGACACUGACGCUGAGGCGCGAAAGCCAGGGGAGCAAACGGG
rnacentral:rRNA from 1 species